CGUCUGGAAAGGCGCGCGAUACAGGGUGACAGCCCCGUACACAAAAGCGCAUGUGCUGUGAGCUCGAUGAGUAGGGCGGGACACGUGGUAUCCUGUCUGAAUAUGGGGGGACCAUCCUCCAAGGCUAAAUACUCCUGACUGACCGAUAGUGAACCAGUACCGUGAGGGAAAGGCGAAAAGAACCCCGGCGAGGGGAGUGAAAAAGAACCUGAAACCGUGUACGUACAAGCAGUGGGAGCACAGGUUUACCUGUGUGACUGCGUACCUUUUGUAUAAUGGGUCAGCGACUUAUAUUCUGUAGCAAGGUUAACCGUAUAGGGGAGCCGAAGGGAAACCGAGUCUUAACCGGGCGUUAAGUUGCAGGGUAUAGACCCGAAACCCGGUGAUCUAGCCAUGGGCAGGUUGAAGGUUGGGUAACACUAACUGGAGGACCGAACCGACUAAUGUUGAAAAAUUAGCGGAUGACCUGUGGCUGGGGGUGAAAGGCCAAUCAAACCGGGAGAUAGCUGGUUCUCCCCGAAAGCUAUUUAGGUAGCGCCUCGUGAAUUCAUCUCCGGGGGUAGAGCACUGUUUCGGCUAGGGGGCCAUCCCGGCUUACCAACCCGAUGCAAACUGCGAAUACCGGAGAAUGUUAUCACGGGAGACACACGGCGGGUGCUAACGUCCGUCGUGAAGAGGGAAACAACCCAGACCGCCAGCUAAGGUCCCAAAGUCAUGGUUAAGUGGGAAACGAUGUGGGAAGGCCCAGACAGCCAGGAUGUUGGCUUAGAAGCAGCCAUCAUUUAAAGAAAGCGUAAUAGCUCACUGGUCGAGUCGGCCUGCGCGGAAGAUGUAACGGGGCUAAACCAU
rnacentral:rRNA from 1 species